UAACUACUCCCUCCGUCCCAAAAUUCUUGUCUUAAAUUUGUCCAAAUACGGAUGUAUCAAGUCACGUUUUAGUAUUAGGUACAUCCGUAUCUAGACAAAUGUAAGACAAGAAUUUUAGGACGGAGGGAGUAGAUC
rnacentral:pre_miRNA from 1 species